rnacentral:rRNA from 1 species
GUAGCGUUAUCGGGAUUACUGGGCGUAAGCGCACGCACGCGGUUUGUUAGUCAGAUGUGAAAUCCAGGGAUCGACCUGGGAACUGCAUCUGAUACUGGCCAGCUUGAGUCUCGUAGAGGGGGGUAGAAUUCCAGGUGUAGCGGUGAAAUGCGUAGAGAUCUGGAGGAAUACCGGUGGCGAAGGCGGCCCCCUGGACGAAGACUGACGCUCAGGUGCGAAAGCGUGGGGAGCAAACAGGAUUAGAUACCCUGGUAGUCCACGCCGUAAACGAUGUCGACUUGGAGGUUGUGCCCUUGAGGCGUGGCUUCCGGAGCUAACGCGUUAAGUCGACCGCCUGGGGAGUACGGCCGCAAGGUUAAAACUCAAAUGAAUUGACGGGGGCCCGCACAAGCGGUGGAGCAUGUGGUUUAAUUCGAUGCAACGCGAAGAACCUUACCUGGUCUUGACAUCCACGGAAGUUUUCAGAGAUGAGAAUGUGCCUUCGGGAACCGUGAGACAGGUGCUGCAU